AGGGGUGGUCUCCUCCUCACCCUCACCGCCACGAUCAAUCAAAGUUGAAGGUGUUGAAGGUGGUGUUUCUGGUUCUUCCAUCUCGAAACAAACUAACAAAGCUCAAAUGUUCUCAGUGCAGGCGGGCAGCAGCAUGGGAGCAGCUUAUAGGACAGCUUGAUCUCUUGAUUCGCUCAAUGAUGAGGCAGCUUCAUCAAACCUGGUGACAGAGCCAUCUACAGCUCUGGCAGUGAUAACGUGGGUUUGGAGUGAUUCGUAACAUUUUUAUAAUUGUAACGAGUAACGAUGCAGCACAUAAAAAAUGUAUUGGAGUAAAAGUAAAAGUGGAAGUAGGAGAAAAAAAGGAUCCUCCAGUAGAGUACAGAUACAGCCUUUUAGUACUUAAGUGCAGUAGUGAAGUAGUUGUACUUUGUUACUAUACA